AGAGUUUGAUCCUGGCUCAGGAUGAACGCUAGCGGCAGGCCUAACACAUGCAAGUCGAGGGGCAUCACGAGGUAGCAAUACUUUGGUGGCGACCGGCGCACGGGUGCGUAACGCGUAUGUAACCUACCUAUAACAGGGGCAUAACACUGAGAAAUUGGUACUAAUUCCCCAUAAUAUUCGGAGAGGCAUCUCUCCGGGUUGAAAACUCCGGUGGUUAUAGAUGGACAUGCGUUGUAUUAGCUAGUUGGUGAGGUAACGGCUCACCAAGGCAACGAUACAUAGGGGGACUGAGAGGUUAACCCCCCACACUGGUACUGAGACACGGACCAGACUCCUACGGGAGGCAGCAGUGAGGAAUAUUGGUCAAUGGGCGGAAGCCUGAACCAGCCAUGCCGCGUGCAGGAAGACGGCUCUAUGAGUUGUAAACUGCUUUUGUACGAGGGUAAACUCACCUACGUGUAGGUGACUGAAAGUAUCGUACGAAUAAGGAUCGGCUAACUCCGUGCCAGCAGCCGCGGUAAUACGGAGGAUUCAAGCGUUAUCCGGAUUUAUUGGGUUUAAAGGGUGCGUAGGCGGUUUGAUAAGUUAGAGGUGAAAUCCCGGGGCUUAACUCCGGAACUGCCUCUAAUACUGUUAGACUAGAGAGUAGUUGCGGUAGGCGGAAUGUAUGGUGUAGCGGUGAAAUGCUUAGAGAUCAUACAGAACACCGAUUGCGAAGGCAGCUUACCAAACUAUAUCUGACGUUGAGGCACGAAAGCGUGGGGAGCAAACAGGAUUAGAUACCCUGGUAGUCCACGCA
rnacentral:rRNA from 1 species